rnacentral:rRNA from 1 species
AUUGAACGCUGGCGGAAUGCUUUACACAUGCAAGUCGAACGGCAGCACGGACUUCGGUCUGGUGGCGAGUGGCGAACGGGUGAGUAAUACAUCGGAACGUGCCCAAUCGUGGGGGAUAACGUAGCGAAAGCUACGCUAAUACCGCAUACGAUCUACGGAUGAAAGCGGGGGACCGUAAAGCCUCGCGCGAUUGGAGCGGCCGAUGUCAGAUUAGGUAGUUGGUGAGGUAAAGGCUCACCAAGCCGACGAUCUGUAGCUGGUCUGAGAGGACGACCAGCCACACUGGGACUGAGACACGGCCCAGACUCCUACGGGAGGCAGCAGUGGGGAAUUUUGGACAAUGGGCGCAAGCCUGAUCCAGCCAUUCCGCGUGCAGGACGAAGGCCUUCGGGUUGUAAACUGCUUUUGUACGGAACGAAAAGGCUCUGGUUAAUACCUGGGGCUCAUGACGGUACCGUAAGAAUAAGCACCGGCUAACUACGUGCCAGCCGCCGCCGUAA